rnacentral:rRNA from 1 species
GAUGAGCGCUGGCGGCGUGCCUAAUACAUGCAAGUCGAGCGAGCAGAUAAGGAGCUUGCUCCUUUGACGUUAGCGGCGGACGGGUGAGUAACACGUGGGUAACCUACCUAUAAGACUGGGAUAACUUCGGGAAACCGGAGCUAAUACCGGAUAACAUUUGGAACCGCAUGGUUCUAAAGUGAAAGAUGGUUUUGCUAUCACUUAUAGAUGGACCCGCGCCGUAUUAGCUAGUUGGUAAGGUAACGGCUUACCAAGGCGACGAUACGUAGCCGACCUGAGAGGGUGAUCGGCCACACUGGAACUGAGACACGGUCCAGACUCCUACGGGAGGCAGCAGUAGGGAAUCUUCCGCAAUGGGCGAAAGCCUGACGGAGCAACGCCGCGUGAGUGAUGAAGGGUUUCGGCUCGUAAAACUCUGUUAUUAGGGAAGAACAAAUGUGUAAGUAACUGUGCACGUCUUGACGGUACCUAAUCAGAAAGCCACGGCUAACUACGUG